GCCAGCGAGCGAGCGGCGCGAGAGGGAGCCGACACGUACGUGCGCGAUGCUGAUGCUGGCGCUCGCCUUUCCCCUUCCCUUUCCCUUUCCCUUUCCCCGGUUACGCCGCCCCCAUUGUAGGUCGCCUUAAAGUAAGCAGCUCUGGGCCUCCCACCCCCCGGAGAAGAGAAGGACCAGCCGAUCGACCCCAAAACCUCUCUCGAUUCGACUUGGACUUCGAGGCCUCCUCCGCUCCACUUCGUCGCCUCCCGGCCUCUGUCCGGGCGGCUGAUCGACCACGCGAUUUCGCCAGUGAAAAAUUGAAAAUGGAUGGGAACGCCAGAGGAAGCGGACAUUCUGACGCAUUAAAGAACUACAAUCUGGGCAAAACAUUAGGUCUAGGCACAUUUGGAAAAGUGAUAAUUGCAGAGCAUAAGCUUACAAGACAAAAAGUUGCUAUAAAGAUUCUGAACCGCAGUCAAAUGGGAGCUAUGGAAAUGGAAGAGAAAGCAAAUAGAGAAAUCAAGAUAUUGAGGUUGUUCAUUCACUUCAUUCAUCCUCAUAUCAUCCGGGUUUAUGAGGUCAUUGAGACACCUAAGGAUAUAUUUGUUGUGAUGGAAUAUUGCAACAAUGGGGAUCUAUUGGACUACAUUGUUGAGAAAGGGCGGUUGCAUGAAUAUGAGGCUCGUCGUAUCUUCCAGCAGAUUAUAUCUGGUGUUGAAUACUGCCACAGAAACAUGGUAGUUCAUCCUGAUCUAAAGCCAUAAAACCUGUUACUUGAUUCCAAAUAUAAUGUGAAACUUGCUGACUUUGGGUUAAGUAAUGUCAUGCAUGAUGGCCAUUUUUUGAAGACUAGCUGCGGGAGUCUAAACUAUGCUGCGCCAGAGGUUAUCUCAGGUAAAUUGUACCCUGGACCUGAGAUUGAUGUUUGGAGCUGCGGGGUGAUACUUUAUGCUCUUGUCUGUGGUGCUGUUCCAUUUGAUGAUGACAACAUUCCCAACCUGUUCAAAAAGAUAAAGGGAGGUACCUAUAUCCUUCCAAUUCAUUUAUCUGAUCUUGUAAGGGAUUUGAUCCCAAGAAUGCUUGUUGUUGAUCCGAUGAAGAGAAUCACAAUUCGUGAAAUUCGAAAACACCCAUGGUUUCAGAGUCGCCUUCCUCGCUACCUGGCAGUGCCUCCACCAGAUAUGGCGCAGGAAGCCAAAAUGAUUGAUGAAGAUACACUUCGAGACAUUGUCAACCUGGGAUAUGAUAAAGACCAUGUGUGUGAAUCGCUGUGUAAUAGGCUGCAAAAUGAGGCAACUGUUGCAUAUUACUUGAUCCUGGACAAUAGGUUCCGGGCUACUAGUGGCUAUUUGGGGGCUGUCUAUCAACAACCAUUGGACAGGAGUUUUAAUCACUUUACUUCAACGGAAUCAACAAGCCCAAGUACCCGGAAUUAUCUUCCAGGAAUUAAUGAUUCUCAAGGCAGUGGCUUGCGGUCAUAUUACCCCGUUCAAAGGAAAUGGUCUCUUGGGCUCCAGUCUGGAGCUCACCCUCGUGCGAUAAUGAUUGAAGUUCUAAAGGCACUUAAUGAAUUAAAUGUCCGUUGGAAGAACAAUGGAGACUACAACAUGAAAUGCAGGUGGUGCCCUGGGUUUCCUCAGUUCAGUGAUAUGUUGUUAGAUGCCAACCACAGCUUUGUUGAUGAUUCUACCAUGAUGGAUAAUGGUGAUGCUAAUAGGAGGCUACCUGCUGUGAUCAAGUUCGAAAUUCAGCUUUACAAGACCAAGGAUGACAAGUACCUGCUAGAUAUGCAGAGAGUUACUGGAUCUCAACUCCUCUUCCUGGAAUUUUGUGCGGCCUUCCUUACCAACCUUAGGGUUCUAUAGUGCUUGUUCUAGUUGAGUGGAGAAUAGCAAAACUUAUGACUGUCCUGUAUGUGUGGUGCCGUUCAUUUCCCCAACAGUGAAUAAGUGAUGGUGUGUAAACAUGUAGGCGGUGUGUUUCAUCUUAGUUUUACCGAGUCCCUGACAGCGAACCAUGUUGUUUGAGUGACUAGUCCUGUGUCGAGCACCAAAAGGUUAAGUUGUUGUGAACUUGUAAGAUAAAUAGGCUGUGGUGAACCUUUUUUGA